rnacentral:tRNA from 3 species
UGUGAGUGUGGCAGAGCGGUCGAAUGCAGGAGACUGUAAAUCUCCCCGUAACAGCGCGGUGGUUCGAAUCCAUCCACUCACACCAA